rnacentral:rRNA from 1 species
CACCGCGGUUAUACGAGUGACACAAAUUAAUACUUCACGGCGUUAAGGGUGAUUAAAAACAAUCUCACACUAAAUAAAGUUAAGACCUCAUCAAGCUGUCACACGCUUUUAUGAUUAAAAACACCACUCACGAAAGUAACUUUAUAUACAAACAGAACUUUUGACCUCACGACAGUUAAGACCCAAACUAGGAUUAGAUACCCUACUAUGCUUAACCAUAAACAUCAUUAUCAUUAACAAACCUACCUUGAUACCCGCCCGAAUACUACAAGCGCUAGCUUCAAACCCAAAGGACUUGGCGGUGCUCCAAAUCCACCUAGAGGAGCCUGUUCUAUAACCGAUAUUCCACGUUCAACCUCACCACUUCUUGCUUAAACACCGCCUAUAUACCGCCGUCGUCAGCUCACCCUGUGAAGGAGCACUAGUAAGCAAAAUGACCUCUUUCCCUCAAUACGUCAGGUCGAGGUGUAGCGAACGAAGUGGGAAGAAAUGGGCUACAUUCUCUCCUCAGAGCACACGGACAGAAAUAUGAAAACCUUCUUUAAGGCGGAUUUAGUAGUAAGUAAACUUUAGAACAUUAUACUGAAACCGGCCCUGGAGCGCGCACACACCGCCCGUCACUCUCCUCAAAUAAUAAACCCACCAAUUCCAUAAAAAAACUAUACAACAAGAGGAGGCAAGUCGUAA